AGGAUGAACGCUGGCGGUCUGCUUAACACAUGCAAGUCGAACGGAGUACCUCGGUACUUAGUGGCGGACGGGUGAGUAACGCGUGAGAAUCUGCCCUUAGGUCGGGGACAACCAUUGGAAACGAUGGCUAAAUACCGGAUAAGCCGAGAGGUAAAAGAUUAAUUGCCUAGGGAAGAGCUCGCGUCUGAUUAGCUAGUUGGUGAGGUGAAGGCUCACCAAGGCAUCGAUCAGUAGCUGGUCUGAGAGGAUGAUCAGCCACACUGGGACUGAGACACGGCCCAGACUCCUACGGGAGGCAGCAGUGGGAAUUUUCCGCAAUGGGCGAAAGCCUGACGGAGCAAGACCGCGUGAGGGAGGAAGGCUCGUUGGGUUGUAAACCUUCGUUUUCUUGGGGAAAGAACAAAAUGAACGGUACCCAAGGAAUCAGCAUCGGCUAACUCCGCGCCAGCAGCCGC
rnacentral:rRNA from 1 species